rnacentral:rRNA from 1 species
GAAGAACACCAGUGGCGAAGGCGGCUCACUGGACUGAUACUGACGCUGAGGUGCGAAAGUGUGGGGAGCAAACAGGAUUAGAUACCCUGGUAGUCCACGCCGUAAACGAUGUCAACUAGCCGUUGGAAGCCUUGAGCUUUUAGUGGCGCAGCUAACGCAUUAAGUUGACCGCCUGGGGAGUACGGCCGCAAGGUUAAAACUCAAAUGAAUUGACGGGGGCCCGCACAAGCGGUGGAGCAUGUGGUUUAAUUCGACGCAACGCGAAGAACCUUACCUGGCCUUGACAUGCAGAGAACUUUCCAGAGAUGGAUUGGUGCCUUCGGGAACUCUGACACAGGUGCUGCAUGGCCGUCGUCAGCUCGUGUCGUGAGAUGGUGGGUUAAGUCCCGCAACGAGCG